rfam:Treponema socranskii subsp. socranskii VPI DR56BR1116 = ATCC 35536 strain VPI DR56BR1116 ctg120007787812, whole genome shotgun sequence.
GGGCUAUUAGCUCAGUAGGUAGAGCAACGCCCUUUUAAGGCGUGGGUCUGCAGUUCGAAUCUGCAAUAGCUCA